UCGAGAGUUUGAGCGCCGGAGGGAGCAGCUGACGGAGGAGGAGAGGGAGGCGCUGGAGCGCGUGGACGAGGAGGGCCGCUCCGUGCUGUCCCGCAUCCAGGCGGACAUCGCUCGUUACGAGAGCAGAGCACGCGGCCUGGAGCAGGAGAUCAACCAGCUGCUCGCCGCCCUCGCUGUACAGGACCCGCUCUCCUUCCUGCAGGCUCCCGUAAAUGAGAGACUCAGGAGGAGCUCCGUCUCCCAGGAGACUCAGUAUUACCCAGCCCCCGUCUCCCAUGGUCUGAACCUCGCAAAAGUCAUCUCAGUGGGCGGCGUCCAAACUAAGCUUCUGCCUUUUCUCGGUACGUCCCUCUGCCAUGACAAUCUUCGUUAGGCUCCGUUACAGACUCCAGAU